rnacentral:rRNA from 1 species
UACGUAGGGUGCGAGCGUUGUCCGGAAUUAUUGGGCGUAAAGAGCUCGUAGGCGGUCUGUCGCGUCGAUCGUGAAAACUUGGGGCUUAACCCUGAGCUUGCGGUCGAUACGGGCAUGACUGGAGUUCGGCAGGGGAGACUGGAAUUCCUGGUGUGGCGGUGAAAUGCGCAGAUAUCAGGAGGAACACCGGUGGCGAAGGCGGGUCUCUGGGCCGAUACUGACGCUGAGGAGCGAAAGCGUGGGGAGCGAACAGG